CCUCCCUGUCCGUCCCUCUGUGUCCCCUGCUCGUCCUCAGCAGGAAGGAAAACAAACACAGAGAACAACAGGCUGUGGCUCAUCACUCACUGUGAAAACAGCGACGAUAAGCUAGUUAGCUGAGCUACAGGAACAUAAACUGGUUAUGUAGCAAUGAGAUCAUAAACUACAGAAGGAGAAAUAAAGCUGGAAUUAAUUACAGUCAUCAGAUCUAAAUGAAGCUAAUCAUAAAUUAACAUAAAGAUAAACUACAAACAAUUUACUCUUUACAGCAUCUGCAUCACCUCACAUUACCUGAAUGUCCACUGAUUUCUGCUGCUGUGUGUGUGUGUGUGUGUUACUGUCAAUGUCUUGUUUAUGUUUAUAUGUUUAAUUGCACAUUGGAGUUUGGUGAAACACAAACUCCUGUUAACCCAGCUACAUAGAUCUUUGAUAAUAAAGUUCACUUGAAAACGUUUAGCUCAUACAAUUAAUAAUGUAAAGUGGAAUAAAUGUAGCCAAGCAAAGAUAAAUCAGUCUAAAACUAUUGUUGAAGUUAAACAUGUAAGCUAAGUUAUACUAAUGUAGCAAGUGUGUAAAGAUGUUCAUAUUUCACCCCAAAUCCAUCCUCAUUAUCUAUGUAUAUUUGUUUUUCUAGGUUUCUGAAUUGUAUUUUAUUUUGGCGGAGAAGCUUUUAUUUUCUUGUUUCCUGUUCCACGUCACAUCCUGUGUGUUCCCGCUUCCCUCCUCAGUUCGGCCGAGCUGUCUUCUGUUUGUGUAUUAAAAUAUUCAAAGUGUAAUAAAAAGUGUGGAAACCAGAGCCCAAGAGCUGCUGCGCUGAAUAAACCUGCUGCAACACAUUCAGGUCCUCGUCCGCUGGUUCCUUUCAGCCAUUACACACAGCAGAUGAGCCGGAUGAUGGCGGCUACACUAAGCUAAGAUUCUGCGAUGGAGGUCAUGUGACUCACCAGAGCUGCUUCCUGGUUUGUGAUGUCAGCGGUGAUGUCAGAGCGGGAGUCGAAGGAGCUCAGGUAGCUCCACCUCUUGGUCUCAUCUGGUUGGCACAGGCCUGCAGAGAGGAGCGUCCUGAACUGACCUUCAUCAUCCUCAGGUCAGAACCCCAGAUCGAGGCGGCCAUGUUGGAUUACGGGUUCUGAACUGGACAGGAACUGGGUCGGGU